rnacentral:rRNA from 1 species
UACGGGGGGAGCAAGCGUUGUUCGGAUUUACUGGGCGUAAAGGGCGCGUAGGCGGUCGUGACAAGUCACUUGUGAAAUCUCCGGGCUUAACUCGGAACGGUCAAGUGAUACUGUCGGACUAGAGUACAGAAGGGGCAACUGGAAUUCUCGGUGUAGCGGUGAAAUGCGUAGAUAUCGAGAGGAACACCUGCGGCGAAGGCGGGUUGCUGGGCCGACACUGACGCUGAGGCGCGAAGGCUAGGGGAGCGAACGGG